CAGUCGCCGCGGUAAUACGAAGGGGGCUAGCGUUGUUCGGAUUUACUGGGCGUAAAGGGCGCGUAGGCGGGCGAAUAAGUCAGGGGUGAAAUCCCAAGGCUCAACCUUGGAACUGCCUUUGAUACUGUUUGUCUUGAGUUCGAGAGAGGUAAGUGGAACUGCGAGUGUAGAGGUGAAAUUCGUAGAUAUUCACAAGAACACCAGUGGCGAAGGCGGCUUACUGGCUCGAAACUGACGCUGAGGCGCGAAAGCGUGGGGAGCAAACAGGAUUAGAUACCCCAGUAGUCCCUGUCUCUUAUAC
rnacentral:rRNA from 1 species